rnacentral:tRNA from 1 species
GUGGCUCAGUGGUAGAGAACAUGCCUUGCAUGCAUGAGGCCCUGGGUUCAAUUCCUCAGC